CGAGCGGGCCGGACGGUCGCGUGUGCAGCGGGAAACUGCGUACAUGAGGAAAGUCCGAGCACCAGAGGGCAGGAUAACGGCUAACGGCCGCCGGGGGCGACCCUAGGGAAAGUGCAACAGAAAUAUACCGCCUCUUUCUGAGGUAAGGGUGGAAAGGCGAGGUAAGAGCUCACCGGAUCCCCGGGAGACCGGGGAUCCCUGUAAACCCUAUCCGGUGCAACAUCGUGGAGGGACAUAUGCGGCUGCCCGUCGCGUCCCGUGGAGAUGGCUUGAGCUGUGCGGCAACGUACAGUCGAGAUAGAUGAUCGUUCAAGACAGAACUCGGCUUACAGACCCGCUCGCACA
rnacentral:RNase_P_RNA from 1 species